AUUGAACGCUGGCGGCAUGCCUUACACAUGCAAGUCGAACGGCAGCACGGGAGCAAUCCUGGUGGCGAGUGGCGAACGGGUGAGUAAAGCAUCGGAACGUGCCCAGUCGUGGGGGAUAACGUAGCGAAAGCUACGCUAAUACCGCAUACGAUCUGUGGAUGAAAGCGGGGGACCGUAAGGCCUCGCGCGAUUGGAGCGGCCGAUGUCAGAUUAGGUAGUUGGUGGGGUAAAGGCUCACCAAGCCGACGAUCUGUAGCUGGUCUGAGAGGACGACCAGCCACACUGGGACUGAGACACGGCCCAGACUCCUACGGGAGGCAGCAGUGGGGAAUUUUGGACAAUGGGCGCAAGCCUGAUCCAGCAAUGCCGCGUGCAGGAUGAAGGCCUUCGGGUUGUAAACUGCUUUUGUACGGAGCGAAACGGCUUCCACUAAUACUGGGGGCUAAUGACGGUACCGUAAGAAUAAGCACCGGCUAACUACGUGCCAGCAGCCGCCGUAACAC
rnacentral:rRNA from 1 species